UCUAAUAGAAUUCUAGCCAACAUCCAGUUACCCUAAGUCCCCAACCUCAUAAACUACCUGAGAGUCUGAGACACGGCGCCACUUAACUACCGUCGCCAUCUGCCACUCAACCACUGCUCAAUUACUCGAAAACGGAGCUAAGCCGCCGAAGGUGAACGCAGCUGCCGCUAACACAGCCUUGACGCCGAUCUCCGUUCAAGUUUCCACAGGUUCUUGAAGGAAGGAUAUUAAAGCUUUUUUAGAAGACAAUGGGGAGGCUGAAGCUCUUUGAUGAUGAACAAAACAAAGAUGAUGUGUCAAAGAUUGAGAUUAAUAAAGAAUAUGCAAAACGAUUUGAGCACAAUAAGAAGCGAGAAGAGCUGCAAAGGUACGAGGAGUUGAAGAAGAAAGGCGUGAUUGAAGAAUCAGAUGAAGACUCUGAUGAUGAAUCGAUAGAUUUGGAGGAAGGCAAUAAUGAUUUAUUGGGGCCUAGCAAACAAGACUUGGAGUUUUUUAAUGUACUGUUGAAAGUGAAGAAGAAGGAUCCGAUUAUUAAGGAAAAAGAUGCUAAGCUUUUUGAGUCUGAAUCAGAUGGGGGUGAAGAGGAAGAAGAAGAAAGUGAAAAUGAUGAAGAAGGGAAGAAGAAGAAGAAAGUAAUGUAUUUGAAAGAUGUGAUGGCAAAGCAUUUAAUUGAAGAGGGGCCUGAGUUUGAGGAUGAGGAAGAAGAAGAGUCUGGUGAGAAAAAGAGAAAGAAGAAGAGUUACAGUGAAGAGCAAGAGGAGAUACGGAAAGAGUUUUUAAAUGCAGUGAAUGAGGCUGAAGGAAAUGAGGAAGAUGAUGAUGGUUUUUUGAAAGAGAAAAAGAAGGAAAAUGAUCAUGAAGGAGAUCUGGAGGAUGACAAUAAUGAUGAGUUUGUUAAGAAAUUGGAUGAGUAUUUUGGUGGGGAUGCUGAGUUGGAUGAGAACAAGAUGUUUCUGAAGGAGUUUUUUAGAAAUAAGAUGUGGAUUGAUAAGGAAAGGAAGGAUAAAGAAUUGGAUGUUGAUGAUGAGGUGGAAGAUCUGUUGAGAGAAGAGGAGGAGCUUGAAAGACAAGAGCAGUAUGAGACAAAUUUUAGGCAUGAGGAAGGGGUGGAUGAUAGAGUAAUGGGUUACUCAAGGAAAAUAGAGGGGUCAGUAAGGAAGAAGGAUAAUGCUAGGAAAGGGCAGAGGAAGAGUAAAGAGGAGAGGAUGAAAAUUGCAGAGAUGGAGAGAAAGGAAGAGUUGAAGCAUUUGAAGAAUUUGAAGAAGAAGGAGAUGAAAGAAAGAAUGGAAAAGGUGAUGGCAAUUGCAGGAUUUAAGGAAGAGGAAGAUUUGUCUCUAAAUUUGAAGGAUUUGGAUGAUGAUUUUGAUCCCGAGGAGUACGAUAGGAUGAUGAAGGCAGUGUUUGAUGAUAAAUAUUAUGGUGCUGAAGAUGUGAACCCUGAGUUUGGCAAGGAGGAGGAAGAAGACCAAGGUGAUAUUGAGAAACCAGAUUUUGAUAAAGAGGAUGAGUUGCUUGGACUUCCUAAAGGUUGGGAUGUGAUUGAAUCAGGUGAUGGAUUUAAGGCUGCCAGGGAAAGAAGUUUAAAACAUAAAUUAGAAAAUGGUGAUGAUGAAGAUGAUGAUGAUGAUGGUGAUGAGGAUGAUGACGACGACGACGAUGAUGACGACGACGACGACGACGACGAUGGUAAUGAAGGAGAAAGAGAGGGCAGAGAGGAAGAAGAAGAGGUUCCUGAGGAGAGCAAGAGGAAGAGGAAACGUAAAAUGUCACUUGUACAGAGAGCUAGAGAGGAAAUGCUUGAGGAGUUCUAUAAGUUGGACUAUGAGGAUACUAUUGGAGACAUAAAAACGAGGUUCAAGUAUGCAAAGGUAAAACCUAAUAGGUAUGGAUUGAAGACUGAAGAGAUAUUAAUGUUGGAUGACAAGGAGUUGAAUCAAUAUGUUUCUGUGAAGAAGAUUGCUCCUUACAGGGAGAAAGAAUGGAAGGUACCUGAUAGUAAGAGGUAUCAGCAAAAAUUGAAGAAUAAGGAGCUUCUCCAAGGACAUAAGUUGGGUGACCGGAAGAAUGGGAAGAGGAAGCGAUCAAAGGAUGAUGGUGAAAAAUCAACAUCAGAGAUUGGUGCCAAGGGAGAUGGGAAGGCACAAUUUGAAGAACCAAAUGUUGAUACGGACAAUUUGUCCAAGCGUGCCAAGACAAGGCGUCGUCAAGCAAACCCCAAACUGUCUCACUCAAGGCUUGUUGCAUAUGGCAAGAUUCCUUCUAAAGGAAAGAGUAAACACUGAACACCAGCACUGAUUCAGGCCAAAGGCAGUAGAGGAGGAAGUUAAAAGUAUUACCAGGAAUUGAGAUUUUGCUUAGAUGGAGCAUCUUUCCGGUGAUUUGAUACUGCAACAUCAAAGCAUCCCCAAUUAAAAGUAAUUUGUGAGUUUUAUCAAUUUAUAUAUUCUUACUCAUCAUUGUCAUUUACUUCUAAGUCUCGGAAAGUCUUUUAGCCUAUAUCUACGAUCACGCUUGCCCUUUUAUAUUGUAAAUACAUGAUCUAGACAUAAUCAGGAAUAUAUCUUUCUAUGCUUCAACUUCACGACUCAUGAUCUUCAAAAUUGGCUGAUAUAUCAGUUUUGGUUGCACAGGCCAUCCCUAAUAUUAUUAAUUAUUACAGGGGACAUCAACUUUGCAAAGAGGCAAGAGGCUGAGGAAUGUUUUAGGUAAUUUUUUAUGAGUAAAGAUCAAGAGUAUUUUGGAAGAAUGUUGAGUUAUAAAAAAUUUUGCCAUUUUUUUGUACCAUUUGUUAAAUUAUCUCUCUUGUUAAUUUGUAUUACCUGCUUCCAAAUCUUGCUAUAAAUGAAAAUUUUCGAUUGUUGGUUCGAUUA